UAGGGAAUCUUCGGCAAUGGGGGGAACCCUGACCGAGCAACGCCGCGUGAGUGAAGAAGGUUUUCGGAUCGUAAAGCUCUGUUGUUAAGGAAGAACGAGUGUGAGAAUGGAAAGUUCAUGCUGUGACGGUACUUAACCAGAAAGGGACGGCUAACUACGUGCCAGCAGCCGCGGUAAUACGUAGGUCCCGAGCGUUGUCCGGAUUUAUUGGGCGUAAAGCGAGCGCAGGCGGUUAGAAAAGUCUGAAGUGAAAGGCAGUGGCUCAACCAUUGUAGGCUUUGGAAACUGUUUAACUUGAGUGCAAAAGGGGAGAGUGGAAUUCCAUGUGUAGCGGUGAAAUGCGUAGAUAUAUGGAGGAACACCGGUGGCGAAAGCGGCUCUCUGGUCUGUAACUGACGCUGAGGCUCGAAAGCGUGGGGAGCGAACAGG
rnacentral:rRNA from 1 species